CCCUUAGAUGUUCUGGGCCGCACGCGCGCUACACUGACGAAUGCAACGAGCUUAUAACCUUGGCCGAAAGGUCUGGGUAAUCUCCAAAUUCCGUCGUGAUGGGGAUAGAUUAUUGCAAUUAUUAAUCUUCAACGAGGAAUGCCUAGUAAGCGCAAGUCAUCAGCUUGCGUUGAUUACGUCCCUGCCCUUUGUACACACCGCCCGUCGCUCCUACCGAUUGAAUGGUCCGGUGAAGCGUUCGGACCGUGGCCUUUGGACGGUUCGCCGUCUGUUGGCUGCGGGAAGUUCGUUAAACCUUAUCAUUUAGAGGAAGGAGAAGUCGUAACA
rnacentral:rRNA from 1 species